AAGUUGAUGAUGGGAUGGACAUUCCUGAAGGAAAAGGUAUAAAGGUGAGAGAGAACAAAGGUUAAAAAAUAAGUAUAGUAGGUUAGAAAGAUGUUAACAAUAGCAAAACAGAAAAAGGAAGUAGAUAAGAUUCAAAAGAGAGGAGAAAAGCUUGGUAGAGUUGGUUACAAUGAUGAGAAUAAGAAGAAUAAGUAUGCUAGGGACAUACUAAGGCAUGUUUAAAACAAGUUAUGGUGAGAUGAUAGAUUCAAGGAGUAGUAGAAUCACAAUUUAAGUGUUAAUGUGUCAGGAAGUACGUCACAUAAUAAGAAGUUUUAGGAAGAAGUCAAGAUAUUUCCAUUCCAGAGAAGGA
rnacentral:misc_RNA from 1 species